rnacentral:misc_RNA from 1 species
GAGUACGUAUUACUUGAGACAAUUCACGUGGUUGCUAGAAGAGCUUUACGAUUAUUUAUAAAUUUACUAUUUAAAACGAUCGAGACUUCUUCAACGCCAUGCCGAAAUCAAAGAGGGACAAGAAAAUUUCUCUCACGAAGACGAGUAAGAAAGGCCUAUUGUUGAAGCAACAGAUCGUUGAAGAUAUUCGAUACUGUGUGGAAAAGUACAGUAGAAUAUUCUUAUUUUCCGUGGAAAAUAUGCGCAACAAUAAAUUGAAAAGUUUGAGAAGCGAAUGGAAAGACAGUAGGUUCUUCUUUGGGAAAAACAAAAUUGUGGCAUUAGCCUUAGGUACGAGUCCCGAGAAAGAAGUUGCAGAUGGUUUACAUAAGUUGUCAAAAGUAUUGAAAGGACAGCGCGGUCUCUUGUUCACGAACAGAUUAAAGAAAGAGGUAUUGAAAUGGAUGGAAGAUUACAGAGAAGAUGAUUAUGCUCGUUCAGGUUUCGUCGUAGAUGAAACUAUUGUGCUUCCUGAAGGACCUUUACCAGACUUUCCCCAUAGCAUAGAACCUCACCUGCGGCAACUUGGUAUGCCAACUGCAUUAAAAAAAGGAGUUGUCACAUUACUUAGAGAGUACGAAGUUUGCAAAGAAGGACAAACCUUAACGCCCGAGCAAGCUAGGAUACUUAAACUCCUUCAAACACCACUAGCAACAUUUAAAUUAAUACCCAUUGGGAUAUAUACAAAAAAAAAUGGUUACAAACACCUUAUAUCGGAUGAAAAUUCACUGGAAAAUAACAUUGAAGAGGGAAUGGAAACAGAAGAUGCAGAAAAAACGUGAACCAUAUCGUUUCUAAUACUGAAUAAAGUUGUAUAUAUUAAAACUAAUUUUUUUUAAUGUAAUAAAAAGUAUACCGAACACGUGCAAUAGAAAUUAAUUCCUUUCAUUAUUUUUUGUACAACAUUCGAACACAUGCUUGACUAAUCGUAUAAUAGAUAAUUUCAUGUAAAACAAAACUACUAGAUGCCCUAUUCCUUCAAAAUAAUAUAUGAAUGUAAUAAGACAAGUGACAGACUAGACAUUCGGUAAUAUAAAACAUUUAAGAAAGGAUUAAAUUUUUAGUUUUUCAAAUAAAUUGUUGCACUUUUGACAAGAAAUUUGCACAGAAUAGAUAACGGUCACCAUGACUUUCCCCAUAGCUUUCGCUAUAUUCUGGAUCUGUGGCAUAAUGUGGGUUAGUGAUACGUUCAAAUUUCUUAGCCUAUAGCGUUUAUAUAAUUUGCUGAUGACAAGUCAUAUGGAAUAUAAUAAGUUGAGAAUAAAUUAUAAAAUUGCUUUCUAUUCAGGGCGCAUAUUAUUGGUUCCAUGAGCGCACGGGAGAUAUAGAUACGGAAAAACUAAAGGCUGAUUUUGAAACUAAAAGAAGCGCAACCUCUAUCGAUUCGAUGGAUAUAGCAGAUCACAAUAACUCUUCCAAAAAGAAAAAACGCCGGAUUGAUUACGACAGCAAAACACGAUGGCCC